rnacentral:lncRNA from 1 species
CUGGCUUCAGAACCACAACAUUAACAGAUUCAUUGCAGCCCUUUGGGCAUUUUUCCCUGAUUCCAAACCUCCUGUCCCCCGGCCCACCAGUAAACACUAUCCUGAAUUUUGUGUUUUGUUAUUGUGGCAGAUUAUAUUGCCAGCCCCAAUUCUUCACCCUUUACUGUAUCCACACCUUUUCCUAUGUAACUCUACAGAGACCUCCCACUGUGGAGAAGGCACAUCUCCCCAUAUCUUUGGGUUUGGCCAAUAGAAGGAAGUAGAAAUGAUACGUCUGUUCUGAGCCCAGGCCUCAAUAAUCUUUCCAUGAUUCCAUUUGCUUUUUUGCACCUUUGCCAUCACCACAAAAAGAACAUGGCUGGACUAGUAUGCUACUCAAGGAAGAGGAUGAAAGACAAGUGGAGUGGGGCUGAGUUGCCCCAGCCAAGCCAGCCUAGAUCAGCCAACCCCUGGCCAGGCCCCAACUCCGUGAGAAUACAUGACUGUGGCUUUAAGACACUAGGUUUUAAGCAAUUCCUUAUACAAUAUGUUUGUGGCAAUUGCUAACUUACAGACUCAUUCUUCCUUUUCUUUACAGUUUUACUGCAGACAUGCCCCUGAACAUAUUUAGCUUUGCAUAUUUUUGAACUGCACUUAACAGGAUACAACAAGAAGUUGGUAGUGUGCAACUCAGAAAAGGGCCCUCACCAGAACCCAACAAUGCUGGCACCCUGGUCUCAGACCUGUAGUCUCUAGAACUGUGAGAAAUAAACUUCUGUUGUUUCUAAGCCACCCUGUCUAUGGUACAUUUUUAUAGCAGCCAGAACUGACUAACACAGCUUCCCUUUCAAAACUGAGUAAACCUAGUUCCAAUCAUCUUUUCUUGUAAGAAAAAAAAUCCAUCGCACAGACUUUUAACAAAGUUUUUUGUUCUCAUCUAAGCUCUCACCUCCCAUUCUCUCCUGAUCCCUCUCCACCCAGGCUUCUGCCCCACCAUUCCUCCAUAAUUGCUGCUGUGACCAUCAUCAAGACCGCCAUGUUGCUAAAUCCAGUCACCAAUUCUCAGUCUUCAACUUAAGUUGCUAACAACUUCGUUUUAAUAUAGUUGGCCCCUCUUUCCUCCUUCAAACACCUUUCCCGCUUGGUCUUCAGGACAUCACACUCUCCUUGUUCUCUUUCUUCUUCACUGGCUGCUCCUUCUCAUUUCCCUUUGAUGCUUUAUUUUCAUGUCUCUUUCCUCAUAAUGGUGGAAUGUCCAGAGCUUUGUUCUUGGAUCUCUUCUCUUCUUUAUCUAAACUCAUUUACCUUGGUAAUUGCAUCCAAUCUAUGGUCUUUAAAUAUUAUUUAUAUGCUGAUGAAUUCCACAUUAUAUUUUCAUCCUGCUUCACUCCCCAGAGCUCCAAAUUCAUAUAUCCAGCUGCUCAACCACCACCUCUACUUGGAUGUAUAAAAACUUUCUUAAACUGAACACAUCUAAACCAAGCUCCCCAUCUCUCCCUCCCCACACUGUACUUCCUAGUCUUCUCUAACUUAGCAAAUGGCAACUUUAUCCAUUCAGUUGCCCAGUUCAAAACUAUUAGCAUAAUCUCUGACUUUUAUCAUUCUCUCACACAUCAUAUCUAGUCUAUGGGAUAUGCCUUUAAAAUACAUCCAGAAUCUCACCAUCUCCCAUCCUCUCCACCGCCAUUACCUUUCACUUGGGUUAUUUCAAUAGCUGCCAACCUAGCCUCCCUCCAUCCAUGUUGCCCAAUAGUCUUUUCUCAACAUUGUCCAGAGACAGCCUUUUAAAACACAUGUCAUGUCAUAUCACUUCUCUCCUCAAAACCCUCUAAUAGCUCCCCAUUUUAUUCCAAAUAAAUCCAAAAUCCUUACUAUGACUGUGGAGACCUUCCACAGUCCAGCUUCAGGUUAACUGUCUGACUCAGCUACUCACUUUCCCUCUCACAAACAUCCACUGCUUGUCCCCUUACAAAUGUGAUCACACUUAAUAUACUGUUCAGCAGUUUAACUUAGCACUGUAUCUUGACAACAUUUCUACAUCAGCACCAUCUACUCCAUUCUUUUUAACAGCUUUUAGGAAAAUGCUUAUGAUAUAAAACUUAAGAGACAGAAGCGGUAUAUAAGUAAUAUGCAGAACAUUAACUUAAACAUGUGCAAAAUUGAAAAAGAAAACAGUGUGAGAAGGAAAUAUGUCAAAGUGUCAAACAUGUUUGCCACUGAUUGAAAAAUUAGGUUGUGUUCUCCUCUCUGCUUCUUUCUGCUUUGUUUUUACUUUCCAAAUUCUCUCUAUAUAAUAAUUACAUUAAUUCAUACAAUGAUUAAAUACAAAUAUGCAUGUGGAAAAAAAGGCCAGAAAAUGUUGCUUGGCAGGUGAAUGGACAGAUCAAUUUUUAUAUAUCCACUCAGUGGAAACUACUUACCAAUAAAGGAAGACCUACUGGUACACACAACAUGGAUGACUCUCAGAAAGGUCAUGCUGACUAUAAGAAGCUAGACACAAAAGAGUUCAUACUAGAUGAUUUGAUUAUAUAAAAUUCUAGGGCUGGGCACGGUGGCUCACGCCUGGAAUCCCAGCACUUUGGGAAGCCGAGAAGGGCAGAUCACAGGAAGCCAGGAAUUCGAGACCAGCCUGACCAACAUGGUGAAAUCCCAUCUCUACUAAAAAUACAAAAAUUAGCCGGGUGUGGUGGCACGUGCCUGUAGUCCCAGCUACUCGGGAGGCUGAGGCAGGAGAAUCGCUUGAACCCAGGAGGCGGAGGUUGCAGUGAGCCGAGGUCGCGCCACUGCACUCCAGCCUGGGCGACAGGGCGAGAUUCUGCCAAAAAAAAAAAAAAAAUUAUAGGAUGGGCAAAAUUAAUCUGUAGUUACAGAAAGCAGAUCUGUAAUUGUCUGGGGACUGGGGUGCCAUAUGGAGGCACUAGGCAUCUUCUGGGGGGUAAUGCAAAUUUUCUAUACCUUGAUUGUUGUCAUGUCUUCAUGGGUAUAUACAGCUGUCAAAACUCACCAAACUGCACACUUAAAAUGAAUGCAUUUAUUGUAUGAAAAUUUUAUCUCAAUAAAGUUGAUUUUUUAAAGAAAA